ACAUCUGCAGUGACAUUUUAUUUGUUUUUAUGUCUGCAGCGCUUGUUUGGGUGUAACAUGGUUUUCCCUGUCACCCUCAAAACAUUCCACAUGCACACGAGGAACAAGUGUAGGCAAAGCCGUGCUUCCCGACCGGGACCACACCUACCAUUCCAUCCACAUAAUGCUAUGUGUACACACCUGAAUGACAAACUUGUCUGCACACAGAUCCACAAUGAGCACCUGGGGAGACAGCAACAAGAAGAAUGACAGUUAAUGACGGCGAGAGGUUACUGUUUCGCAACAGUGCUACAAAGGCAUGGCUUGCAGUUAUAAAAAGCUCCAGCAGAUCUGGCAGGCAGGGUGCCAGCACUCCGAUGAGGAAUGGAGUGGGGGAGCAGCUGAUGUCCAGCAUGCUGGCCGGUAGCACGGGCACAAAGGUGUGCUGCCAGGUGAAGGGGUACAGCAGCGCCAGCACUGCGUGGCUACACCGGGACAACACACUGCAGUGAACAGGGGAGGAUAGAAGAGAUUAAGCCACAACAACACCAUUCAGCUCUCACACAGAUCAUAUGACACAAAGAUUUCAAUCGUAGUCGCCUGAAAAUAGCCUGGUCACACCAGUAGAAUUCAUUUCCAGGGAGUUUUCAGCAAACAGCACUUGUGUUUUCAAAGAUUUCUUCAAAACCCAACAGAUCUGCACUUACACUCUUUCAUGGUAUCCAAGAUUUCUCCCUUAAAACCAAUGUCUCAUCUAUAAAUGAUGGCAGAUAUGCAAAAGAUAAAUGUUUAUAAAAUUCACAACUGAUACAUUUUGAAGCGUAUAUAUGAUCUUUUAUUUAAGCUUUAUGAUAAAUAUGGAAAAACACGUUAGGUUUGGAAAGGUCCUGCUAAGUAAGCCCGGGGUGAGUCAGGACUUUGUUAUUGUGUGGCCCUGUAAAGCCCACUGGGACACUGUAACGGAUAUUGGGCUGUACAAAUAAACCUGACUUAACUUGCCUUUGCCAUAGCUUAGCUUAUUGAGGCCAAGGUACACACAGGUAACUGACACUAGUGUGUAAUCAAGUAUUGACAAUAGCUGCACCGCAUCAGGGGAGAGUCUAAUCUAAUCAAAUGAAAGAAUAAAACCAUCAGCACUGUAUGACAUCCUUCUACAUACAGCAUGUAGCGAUGUGGCUCUGCAGCAGUACCUGAGUUUGUCAGCGAUGAAGAUGACCCUCCUCUCCAGCAGAAGGGAGGCAAACACCUGCAGGAGGUUCCCGACACUGAGGCACUGCAGCAGGCUGUCGAAGUCAACGUGCUCCAGCCUGGAGUCCACCGGGCGACACAAAGGUUACCUCAUUCCCUGACCCGGGGAGGAAGCUCUUGACGGUGACAGUGCGCCCAGGGGCUGGAAAGGGGGCCUCCAUCACGCUGCGCAUAAAUGGGUAAACCAGCGCUGGGGAAAUCUCCCUGCGCCUCUCCACCUCCUCCAAGAUCUGCACAGACAGAGACAGACUAUUUACUGAGUGUCCUGAGAGAAGAUUAACCACACAGUGGCGCAGAUGUUUUCCUCGUUGCUUAAUCCGCACUUACUGUUUGCAAAUAAAACCCAGCCAACUGGGAAAAUGGGUGUGACGCGGCUGCAUGUAUACAAUCUCUUUUUUGAAACACACACACCCUGGGAUUGUUCAGGAUUAUCUUCUAGAGUAGCCUCACUCCGUCCUCAUACAUACAAGGAGUUUAAAGGCAGCAGCUCUCACACACACUUCUCGAGGGGAUUUUUUAGCAAAGGCAGCUCCUUUUCAUCUCCCAACAAAAGCUUCCUUUACGGCAGCAUUACCUUUGCAAAGAGGUUGAAGCAGCCCAGUUUGCUGACGAUGCAGUGCACUUCAGGAAGCCUCUUCCCUUUUCCAAUGGGCUAAAAGACACAUACAGUUUCAUGUUACAAAAACAAGUAGCAAAUGAGAUAACUAUGCUGAAACACGUCAUAGAGAUAAUUGGAAGACUGGCGACCCAUGUACUGGGGCUCUUUCGUCAUGUGGAGGACCCGGGUUCGAAUCCGGCUUUGGACAAUUUGCUGCAUGUCAUCCCUCCUGUCUCCCCCUUUCAAUGCUGUCACUCAAAUAAAUAAAUAAAGACACUGGUUGCCCCAAAAAAUAUUUUAAACAAAUAAAACAUUAA